AUAGCAUUUGUCAAGGUCCAACAAAAAUACUUGCAGAGCUCUCUCGCUGCUCUGUAGUUGUAUAAAGCAAUUUUGGGGUUCGGAUUCGACCCGUUUUCGAAAACCGAAAUUAUUGUCAGUGGGUCUCUACUCUCUCUCUCUCUCCAUCUCACCUGAAACCUAAAACGUAGAUUUGGACACAGAAAAGGAGAAGGCGAAGAAGAUGGUGAAGGUCGCGACCUACUUCGCUAUGACUUUGGGAGCUUUCGUGUUCUGGCAGUCCAUGGAUAAAGUCCACGUCUGGAUCGCCCUGCAUCAGGACGAAAAGGGGUCUCGUUAAUGUGGCAGCAAGAAAGACUUGAAAGGGAAAUGGAGAUUAAGAGGGUUAGAGAAGAGCUGCUGCAGCAGCAAGCCAAACAAAGGGAGACUCAAGCAUGAGCGACUCAGAUUUAUCUUCUUGCACCUUCAUAUUCCGUUGUUUCCUCUACUUCUGAUUUUAUCUGAGCAUUGCUCUGUUGAACACAAUCACAAUUCUGGAAUAAUUUAACUUGGCAUUCACAGAAUAGCUAAGUUCUGUCUUAUCGAUGACUUUACAUAAGCUUUUGAAAAUCAUGUUGUGUUUUUCGUUGUUUACUUACA